GACGAACGCUGGCGGCGUGCUUAACACAUGCAAGUCGAACGGAAAGGCCCUGCUUGCCGGGUACUCGAGUGGCGAACGGGUGAGUAACACGUGGGUGAUCUGCCCUGCACUUCGGGAUAAGCCUGGGAAACUGGGUCUAAUACCGGAUAGGAGCCAUUUUUAGUGUGAUGGUUGGAAAGUUUUUUCGGUGUAGGAUGAGCUCGCGGCCUAUCAGCUUGUUGGUGGUGUAAUGGCCUACCAAGGCGGCGACGGGUAGCCGGCCUGAGAGGGUGGACGGCCACAUUGGGACUGAGAGACGGCCCAGACUCCUACGGGAGGCAGCAGUGGGGAAGAUUGCACAAUGGGCGCAAGCCUGAUGCAGAGACGCCGCGUGGGGGAUGACGGCCUUCGGGUUGUAAACUCCUUUCGCUAGGGACGAAGCUUUUUGUGACGGUACCUAGAUAAGAAGCACCGGCUAACUACGUG
rnacentral:rRNA from 1 species